rnacentral:siRNA from 1 species
AUCUGGUCAUGUGGUUAUGUCCGA